UACGUAGGGUGCGAGCGUUGUCCGGAAUUACUGGGCGUAAAGAGCUCGUAGGUGGUUUGUCGCGUUGUUCGUGAAAACUCACAACUCAAUUGUGGGCGUGCGGGCGAUACGGGCAGACUGGAGUACUGCAGGGGAGACUGGAAUUCCUGGUGUAGCGGUGAAAUGCGUAGAUAUCAGGAGGAAUACCGGUGGCGAAAGCGACUCUCUGGACGGCAACUGACGCUGAGGCACGAAAGCGUGGGGAGCAAACAGG
rnacentral:rRNA from 1 species